CUGACAUGUCUGAUGUCAAUAGUGAUAAGUGAAAAUUGCUCAGGAAAAUUGAAAUAAUUUAAUAACUUUAAAUUGUAUUUAGAAAAACGAAUUAGAAAAGCAGAAAUUCCUUUGAUGAAGAUAAUGGAUGUAAAAUUAAUGUUGAUUUUAUGUAUUCCAUGUAACUACAAUUAAAUUGUGUUGUAUAUAUAUUGAGAUAUUCAAAGAGUUGUUGUUGAGUAUGUGAAUAAAUAAUAAAUUAUUAUCAAUAUUGUUCUAAUGGAAUCUUGAGUAGGAAGAGGAAUACAUAUUAUAAAGAUUUAAUGCC